rnacentral:other from 1 species
UCCUCCUCGGCCUGUUUGCCAGUCCGUUUAGUCUCUGAGGCUUUGAUAACCUACCCAGGCGGCCUCUUCAGGAGUACUGAGCGUGCAUGCCCACCCUGGAGUGGGAAGCCCAUGGUACUCCAGCGGCUGCCACCUUGAGAAAACGUCUCAAGGGCCACAGCGGACAGCGGCGGGUCGGGGAGGUC